UAACAAGGAUUCCCCUAGUAACUGCGAGUGAAGCGGGAAGAGCUCAAAUUUAAAAUCUGGCGGUUUCACCGUCCGAGUUGUAAUCUGGAGAAGCAUUUUCCGCGUUGGACCGUGUACAAGUCUCUUGGAAUAGAGCGUCGUAGAGGGUGAGAAUCCCGUCCAUGACACGGACUACCAGUGCUUUGUGAUAUGCUCUCAAAGAGUCGAGUUGUUUGGGAAUGCAGCUCAAAAUGGGUGGUAAAUUCCAUCUAAAGCUAAAUAUUGGCGAGAGACCGAUAGCGAACAAGUACCGUGAGGGAAAGAUGAAAAGCACUUUGGAAAGAGAGUUAAACAGUACGUGAAAUUGUUGAAAGGGAAACGCUUGAAGUCAGUCGCAUUGUCCGGGACUCAGCCUUGCUAUUUGCUUGGUGUAUUUCCUGGUUGAUGGGUCAACAUCAAUUUUGGCUGGUGGAUAAAGGCUGAGAGAAGGUGGCAUCUUCGGAUGUGUUAUAGCUCUCGGUUGUAUACGCUGGCUGGGAUUGAGGUCUGCAGCACGCCUUUUGGCCGGGGUUCGCCCACGUAACGUGCUUAGGAUGUUGGCAUAAUGGCUUUAAGCGACCCGUCUUGAAACACGGACCAAGGAGUCUAACAUGCCUGCGAGUAUUAGAGUGGAAAACUCUUGUGCGAAAUGAAAGUGAAAGUUGGGACUUUUCGCGAAGGCACCAACGCCCGGCCCUGAAGUUUACUGACGGUGCUGCGGUAGAGCAUGUAUGUUGGGACCCGAAAGAUGGUGAACUAUGCCUGAAUAGGGUGAAGCCAGGGGAAACUCUGGUGGAGGCUCGUAGCGAUUCUGACGUGCAAAUCGAUCGUCAAAUUUGGG
rnacentral:rRNA from 1 species